rnacentral:rRNA from 1 species
GAAUAUUGGGCAAUGGCCGAGAGGCUGACCCAGCCAUGCCGCGUGCAGGAAGAAGGCCUUCUGGGUUGUAAACUGCUUUUAUCUAGGAAGAAAACGCCCCUGCGGGGGUAACUGACGGUACUAGAUGAAUAAGCACCGGCUAACCCCGUGCCAGCCGCCGCGGUAAUACGGAGGGUGCAAGCGUUGUCCGGAUUUAUUGGGUUUAAAGGGUGCGUAGGCGGCCCUGUAAGUCAGUGGUGAAAUCCCAGGGCUCAACCCUGGAACUGCCAUUGAUACUGCAGGGCUUGAGUUCGGUCGAGGCGGGCGGAACUGGUGGUGUAGCGGUGAAAUGCAUAGAUACCACCAAGAACCCCGAUUGCGUAGGCAGCUCGCUAGGCCGAAACUGACGCUGAGGCACGAAAGCGUGGGGAGCGAACAGG